GGCUGAUUUGCUUUAAUUUUUUAUGAGUUAAAUUAAGUAUUUUAUGAAUAAUUGUGAGGUUUUAUUGUUAAAAUUAUUUAUAGACUAAAAUAUUUUUUAAUGUGGUGUUAUUUAUUAAACAAGAAUUAGAUACUCUUUUAUAUUUAAUUUUAUUUGUGUAUUCUCAGUUUUAACUGAAAGAAAUUGGCAGCCGAUUAUAUCCUGCUAGGGGAGUGUGUAUUUUAAUAGAUGUUCCGCUUAUAAUUUUACUAUGAUUAUUUUGUUAGUGUAUAUCCGGUUUAGUUAUAUAAAAUGAAUGUUUUGUGUAUAAAGAAGUUUUUAAUCCAGGUCAAUAUGCUGCUUAUGUUAUAGGUAAUAUUCGCUACAGUAUAAUAUUAUAGAGUGAAAUGCUUGUUAGUUUUGGGACUUAGCAGUAUUAUGAGAUUUUAAGUAGUUCAUGAGAAUAAGGUUUAGUUGGGGCACACAUCGCCCGUCAUCUUCGAUUUUUAGUU
rnacentral:rRNA from 1 species